CAGCCACCUAAGUCAACAAUGGUGGGAGUCAACAAUGGUGGUGAAGCCAUCCUUCCUUAGUCACAAAUUGUAGGCACCAAACUUGUGCCACUUGCCUUGCUUUGUCUUUUGCAAGACAAAGGCAAGGAUGCUUGCCUAUAAAUAGGCAGUGCAUCCUUGCCAUAUAGAACACACCACAAGAGAGAAAUUUGAGAGCAAGUAGAGAGAGUGAAGAGAGAGUAAUCCCACAAAGUUGUGAGGUAUUUGUGAGAGAGUAAGUGAGGUGUUUUCUCCUAGUAAUAGAGAGAUUUCAGUUGUUCUCCUAUUGUUAGAGAGAGGUUGUAAUUCCCACAUUACUUAGUAAAAUCCUUCUAUACUUGUCCGUGGACGUAGCCAAAUUGGGUGAACCACGUAAAUUCUUGUGUGUCUAAUUUCUCACUUUGUCCUAUCCUUUGCCUUUUAUCUUGUCGGGUUUGCAUGCCAGUAUCCUAACACUCUAGUCCUGUGCACUGAUGAUGCUGGAUCGAGUUUUUCCCACCAGUCUUCCUAACGAGUAUAAUAUUGCUUCGACUGCUUUUGGCAAGUAUAAAUAACAUCUGCUGUGCUUGUGACAUGAAUUAGAUCAGGUAGCUUUCAUCAUUGUUGAUGGGAGAUCAUGUAUCUAACCACUAGUGGCUGUAUGUUUUAUUGUCAAAUAUGAAGGUCUUGGAAAGAGGGAAACGUUUGAGCUCGCAAGAAAAGGGAUUGAGUUUAUGUGUGCUGGUGAUGGAGUCAAGCAGGAUUCAGCAGCAAAGAAACUAAAUCCAUGAUCAGGCAUCUGGUGGAGCAUAAGCACCCACCCCUGGAAGUAUGCAUAAUCAUUUUAGUGAAAUUGUUGAUGAGGUUUGAGCUACAGAACACUUUAUCCGGAGCUCGAUACCCUAUUGAUCUCAUUGAUAUUGAACUUUGCAGAUAUCUUGUCAGUUCAGUAGUAUUCUUAGAUUGAAAGUAGGCGUGUCCAUGCAUGUUGAACAUGAACAUAUUUGAAUUUGUAACCCAUGCGUUCUUGGCAUUCCACGAGUAAAACCAUUGCCACUCAUUGGAAUCAAAUUUGCAAAUCCCAGAAUUUGUCUGUCUGAUAGUUUCUGCUGACAA